UUAACACAAAUUUGUAUGGAGUUGGAACAGCGCCCCUAGCGGCGAACGAAGGGAAGCUGUUCCAACUCCAUACAAAUUUGAGUUA
rnacentral:pre_miRNA from 1 species